rnacentral:rRNA from 1 species
GACGAACGCUGGCGGCGUGCUUAACACAUGCAAGUCGAACGGAAAGGCCCUGCUUUUGUGGGGUGCUCGAGUGGCGAACGGGUGAGUAACACGUGAGUAACCUGCCCUUCACUUUGGGAUAACUUCAGGAAACUGGGGUUAAUACCGGAUAGGAGCUCCUGCUGCAUGGUGAGGGUUGGAAAGUUUCGGCGGUUGGGGUUGGACUCGCGGCUUACCAGCUUGUUGGUUGGGUAGUGGCUUACCAAGGCUGUGACGGGUAGCCGGCCUGAGAGGGUGACCGGCGACAUGGGGACUGAGAUACGGAGCAGACGGGUACGGUAGGCAGCAGUGGGAAAUAUUGCACAAUGGGAGGGAGCGUGAGGCGGCAACGCCGCGGGUGGGAUGACGGCCUGCGGGUUGUGAACCGCUGUCGCCUGUGACGAAGCGUUAGUGACGGUAAUGGGUAAAGAAGCACCGGCUAACUACGUG